CCCUAGUAACUGCGAGUGAAGCGGGAAAAGCUCAAAUUUAAAAUCUGGCGGUCUUUGGCUGUCCGAGNUGUAAUCUAGAGAAGUGCUAUCCGCGCUGGACCGUGUACAAGUCUCCUGGAAUGGAGCGUCAUAGAGGGUGAGAAUCCCGUCUUUGACACGGACUGCCAGGGCUUUGUGAUGUGCUCUCAAAGAGUCGAGUUGUUUGGGAAUGCAGCUCAAAAUGGGUGGUAAAUUCCAUCUAAAGCUAAAUAUUGGCGAGAGACCGAUAGCGAACAAGUACCGUGAGGGAAAGAUGAAAAGAACUUUGGAAAGAGAGUUAAACAGUACGUGAAAUUGCUGAAAGGGAAACGCUUGAAGUCAGUCGCGUUGGCCGGGGAUCAACCUUGCUUUUGCUGGGUGUACUUUCCGGUUGACGGGUCAGCAUCAAUUUUGAUCGUUGGAUAAAGUUCAUGGGAAUGUGGCUUCUUCGGAAGUGUUAUAGCCCAUGUUCGCAUACAACGG
rnacentral:rRNA from 1 species